AGUGAACGCUGGCGGUAGGCCUAACACAUGCAAGUCGAACGGCAGCACAGUAAGAGCUUGCUCUUACGGGUGGCGGGUGGCGGACGGGUGAGGAAUACAUCGGAAUCUACUUUUUCGUGGGGGAUAACGUAGGGAAACUUACGCUAAUACCGCAUGCGACCUACGGGUGAAAGCAGGGGAUCUUCGGACCUUGCGCGAUUGAAUGAGCCGAUGUCGGAUUAGCUAGUUGGCGGGGUAAAGGCCCACCAAGGCGACGAUCCGUAGCUGGUCUGAGAGGAUGAUCAGCCACACUGGAACUGAGACACGGUCCAGACUCCUACGGGAGGCAGCAGUGGGGAAUAUUGGACAAUGGGCGCAAGCCUGAUCCAGCCAUACCGCGUGGGUGAAGAAGGCCUUCGGGUUGUAAAGCCCUUUCGUUGGGAAAGAAAAGCAGCAGGUUAAUACCCCGCUGUUCUGACGGUACCCAAAGAAUAAGCACCGGCUAACUUCGUG
rnacentral:rRNA from 1 species